CCCCUCUUAGGGUCGCACUUGGAGAGUUUCCAGUGCUCUACCAAUCUCAGCUACAGGAAGGACAGUGAGGCAGAGGCCUGUCCAUUCCAUUCUUAGCUUGGCCAGUGGCUAGCGACUGGAAGGCAAUCUGCUACAAGG